rnacentral:rRNA from 1 species
CUGUUUUUACAAAACAUGUCCUAAUGUAUUUUAUUUAUUAGGUCUAACCUGCUCAAUGAUUUUUAUUAAAUAGCCGCAGUAUUUUGACUGUGCGAAGGUAGCAUAAUCAUUUGUCUUUUAAUUGAAGGCUUGUAUGAAUGGUUGGAUGAAAAAGUGACUUUCUUUACAUUAAAUAUUGAAUUUAAUUUUUUAGUUAAAAAGCUAAAAUAAUUGAAUGGGACGAGAAGACCCUAUAGAAUUUCAUUAUAAUAUAGUUUUUAAUUUAUUGGUUAAUUAUUUUUUUUAUUUAUAUUAUAAUUUUGUUGGGGUGACAUUGAGAUUUUUUUAACUCUCAUAAUUUUGAUUUUUAUUUAUUUAUAUUUUUGAGAUCCUGUUUUAUGGAUUAAUAGAUUAAAUUACCUUAGGGAUAACAGCGUAAUUUUUCUGGAGAGUUCUUAUCAAUAGAGAAGUUUGCGACCUCGAUGUUGGAUUAAAAUUAGAUUUAAGUGCAGAAGCUUAUUUUCUAGGUCUGUUCGACCUUUAAAUUUUUACAUGACGGGUUUUAAC